AACGAACGCUGGCGGUGCGUUUUAAGCAUGCAAGUCGAACGGCAAGAAGAGAGCUUGCUCUUUUCCUAGAGUGGCGGACUGGUGAGUAACGCGUGGAUGAUCUACCUUUAAGAUGGGGAUAGCUUCUAGAAAUAGAAGAUAAUACCGAAUAACCUUAUUAUGUUAUGACGUAGUAAGAAAAGGAGCGUCAGCUCCGCUUAAAGAUGAGUCUGCGUCCCAUUAGCUAGUUGGUAAGGUAAAGGCCUACCAAGGCGACGAUGGGUACCCGGCCUGAGAGGGUGAACGGGCACAUUGGGACUGAGAUACGGCCCAAACUCCUACGGGAGGCAGCAGCUGAGAAUCUUCCGCAAUGGACGAAAGUCUGACGGAGCGACACCGCGUGAACGAUGAAGGCCGGAAGGUUGUAAAGUUCUUUUGCAGACAAAGAAUAAGGAUAGAAGGAAAUGACUAUCUGAUGACGGUAGUUAUGCGAAUAAGCCCCGGCUAAUUACGUGCCAGCAGCCGCGGUAAUACGUAAGGGGCGAGCGUUGUUCGGAAUUAUUGGGCGUAAAGGGCAUGUAGGCGGUUAGGUAAGCCUGAUGUGAAAUGUAUGAGCUUAACUCAUAAACUGCAUUGGGUACUGCUUGACUUGAAUCAUGGAGGGGAAACUGGAAUUCCAAGUGUAGGGGUGGAAUCUGUAGAUAUUUUGGAAGAACACCGGUGGCGAGGCGGGUUCCUAGCCAAUGAUUGACGCUUAGGUGCGAAGGCGCGUGGAGCAAAAUG
rnacentral:rRNA from 1 species